AGUCUAUGCCAUACCACCAUGAACAUGCCUGAUCUCAGAGGCUAAGCAUGCUCAGGCCUAGUUAGAAUUUGGAUGGGCAACAUCCCAGUUGUGGCUU
rnacentral:rRNA from 14 species